GAUCAACGCUGGCGGCGUGCCUAAUACAUGCAAGUCGAGCGAAUGGAUUAAGAGCUUGCUCUUAUGAAGUUAGCGGCGGACGGGUGAGUAACACGUGGGUAACCUGCCCAUAAGACUGGGAUAACUCCGGGAAACCGGGGCUAAUACCGGAUAACAUUUUGAACCGCAUGGUUCGACAUUGAAAGGCGGCUUCGGCUGUCACUUAUGGAUGGACCCGCGUCGCAUUAGCUAGUUGGUGAGGUAACGGCUCACCAAGGCAACGAUGCGUAGCCGACCUGAGAGGGUGAUCGGCCACGCUGGGACUGAGACACGGCCCAGACUCCUACGGGAGGCAGCAGUAGGGAAUCUUCCGCAAUGGACGAAAGUCUGACGGAGCAACGCCGCGUGAGUGAUGAAGGCUUUCGGGUCGUAAAACUCUGUUGUUAGGGAAGAACAAGUGCUAGUUGAAUAAGCUGGCACCUUGACGGUACCUAACCAGAAAGCCACGGCUAACUACGUGCCAGCCGCCGCAGUAA
rnacentral:rRNA from 1 species